UCUCAGAAACAAUCCUCUUCUGCUCUGUGAAGAAGGCUUCUUUUUAGGAUCUUAAUUUCAAUGCCUGUGUUAAAGAAGAAAAAUUUCUUUAAAAACAAGAGGACAAUAUAUUUUAUUAGUUCUGACUAACCAGAGAGGUCCCAGAUGACUGGAGGCUGAUAAAUGUGACCCUGGUCUAUAAGAAGGUUAUGACGGAGGAUCCAUGGAAUUACAAGUCUGAUGAAAAGGAACUGAAGAUUGAAAGAAAGUACAUAACAAGAAGUGUUUAAGAGGAAACUUCAUUUGCUUCUUCCUUUGAAGCAGCAGGAGAACUUCAUAUUUCAAACACCAGGCAAGGAAAGAAAUGGAUCAUUAAAGAUCAUGGCACAAAUCUAAAGUAAUUUCAGUGGAAAUGGAGGUUUACUGUACCAAGAAAUGCUAGAAGAAGGAACUACCCUGAGACACAUUCAGACACAAACUCGUCUCAAAACAGUUUAUUGGCACAGAGACAAAGAAAGAAUAAAGCCUGCAAGAUGUAUGAAAAUUCUUUAAUUUAUGUAGUAACAGUGGUAUCCCAACAAGUAUACUGCAUCCAGCUGAAGAGGACAGAAGAAUGGGAGCAGCGCAAUCUGAAGAAAAGCUGAGGGAGACACAAAAACUGUUUCCAAGAAUCUGAAAGACCGAUAUAAAAUCAAACAUAAAACCUAUUCCCUCCACCCCAAUGUCUAGUUCUGAAUCAUAGCAUGAAGUAGAAUCGCAUAAUGGCUUGGAAGGGACCUUAAAGAUCAUCCAGUUUCAACCUCUUUGUAAGAGCGGUGCUCCAGACCACUGAUAUUUCUCAAGGCCCUCCUCUGGACACACUCCAGCAGUUCCACAUCUCUUGUGCUGGAGACCUCAGCCCUUGAUACUCCAGAUGGAGCCUUGAGAGGGCAGAACAGAGGGGGGCAAUCACCUCCCUAGCCCUGCUGGCCACCCCUCCUUUGUUGCAGUCUGAGGUACAUUUGACCUUCUGGGCUGCAAGCACAUGCUGCUGGCUCAUGUCCAGCUUUACAUCCACCAGGACCCCUAGGUCCCUCUCCACAGUACAGUUCUCAACAAAUUCUUCUCCAGUCUGUACUCAUUUUGGGGAUUGCCCUGAUUCAGGUGCAGUCCCUUGCAUUUGGGGACACCAUUAAGUUCAGGUGGGUCCACUUCUCAGGUCUCUGGGUAUUUUGUAUUUCCCAAAAUGUGCUCCAAAUCUGAAGUUGAUUGCAGAUGAAGGCAGCAAGCACAAAUUAGAAUGGAAUGUAGUAUUUGUAGACACUUCAAAGUCCAGAAUGCUUAUAAUCAAACAUCUUUCAUUGAUAAACAUGAAUAGAUUAUCAUGUUGAUUCUGUGAGGUAGUUUUUAAAUGUUUGAAUAGUUUAAAAUGUGAAUCAUGCAUAUUGUAUCACUAAAAUCGUUCAGUCCUAUUCAACAUACUAUUGUAGAAAAGUUGUUUCAAGACUCUUUUGACCCUAACAAGUGCAAUAAGUGGGCUUUUGCUUAUGUUUUCUGUCUUAAUUAAAAUUAAGGCCUUCUAAGGACAAAAAGCCAGAAAGAUAUUUAAUUUUAGCAGUAGCUCAUCAGUUAUACUGUAAGAAAAGAUAUGAGGCUGAAUAUCUUCUUCAUAUGUGCUUCAAAAUAAUUCAAAGAAUAAUUUGUAUACUGUAGAGACACUGCAGAAGAGAAAAAUGCUUGGUGUAGAAGAAACUUCUUAGGGAACAGCUUCUCAAUUUCAGAUUUUCAUCCCUGUGAUUUGAGAGAUACCUUCUUUUGUGACAAGAAUUAGACUUCCCUUUUGAUCAUCUUGUUUGAACCAUGCAGUUCUGGAUAUUCAUGUAAAUGGAGUUGUAAUUAAGAGUCAGAGGUGAGAAAGGAGUGGUGUAUGAUGAUUCAGAUAUACCAAGCAUCCCUCAGGAGUACGCACAGCCAUAUGUUACUAUAGAUGACAGCUGGUGAGAGGCAAGUCCCCACUUAUGACACCCAUCUGCAGGUAAAAGCAUGUAGUGUGGUUAAGGACUGUACUUGAAAAUCAAGUAAGGGAUCACACUGUAAACCACAUUCAGAAAUUGCAUAUAUAGUUGAUUUUUUUUUCUUACUUGCAAUAAAACAAGGAAGAAAUAUAUUUCCAAAUGUCAAACUUACUGGAAACAGUGUGUAUGAAACGCUGUGGUCCAAGGAGUACUCAUGGUUAGAACUUCUACCCUGGGGGAAACUGGCAGAAUUGAAUUUACUGAACUGAAUAUUUACAUGUCCAAAGUUGAACAGCUGCAAGAGAACACAGGAGAAAAAUCCUGAAAUAUCCUAUGCCCUGCAGUUUGAGUUUUCUACUUUUCAAAUAAAUACCAGAGGUGAUAGCUGAGUUAAUUUUUUCAAACACUGACAUAAUACAGAAGAAAAAACACUAUACAAAGGGUUUCUUUUUACUUUUUUCUUAAUGUUAUGUAUCAGUAUGCUACAUAAAAAGUUUUAUUUAACUUUACAAGUGAGUUAGUUAGAGAAUAAGGAAUUCAUGAGCCCCACUGGAUUUUGAAUAAAUGUGUCAGUCUGGCAGGUGACAUCAAAAACUAAACAGCAAUGGAGCAAAAAAGCUAGGAUUUUCUUAUCCAUUUCUGACUCUUACUAAAUUGUUUAAAUGAGAUUUUUGUGAAUGCUCUGGCAGUCAGCACAAGAGCUCUCUAAAUAGUGCAGUGAAAUUCUCUAACUGGUGAAUGCAAUCCAGGUUCUAUGAUAAGUAUAUACAAGUCUUCCAUGUCUGAACAUGGAAUAGAAACUGAAUUUCCCCAGCCCAGCUACAAUAUAUUGUUAUUUUGAUUCUGCAAAUUUUUAAAACAAAUUAUCCAUGCUAGAGAAAAGACUUAAAUGGAAAACUCCACAAUUUUCUCUUUCCUUGUAUCUUGCCAGAAUGAUAUUAUUUCAAUGCCAGAG